rnacentral:rRNA from 1 species
GACGAACCGUGCGAACGUUGUUCGGAAUCACUGGGCUUAAAGGGCGCGUAGGCGGGCUAUCAAGUCCGGGGUGAAAUCCUCCAGCUUAACUGGAGAACUGCCUCGGAUACUGAUGGUCUCGAGGAGGAUAGGGGCACACGGAACUGUGGGUGGAGCGGUGAAAUGCGUUGAUAUCCAUAGGAACUCCGGUGGCGAAAGCGGUGUGCUGGAUCCUUUCUGACGCUGAGGCGCGAAAGCCAGGGGAGCAAACGGGA